rnacentral:rRNA from 1 species
UGGGGAAUUUUCCGCAAUGGGCGAAAGCCUGACGGAGCAAUACCGCGUGAGGGAGGAAGGCUCUUGGGUUGUAAACCUCUUUUCUCAGGGAAGAAAAAAUGACGGUACCUGAGGAAUAAGCAUUGGCUAACUCCGUGCCAGCAGCCGCGGUAAUACGGAGGAUGCAAGCGUUAUCCGGAAUGAUUGGGCGUAAAGGGUCCGCAGGUGGCUAUGUAAGUCUGCUGUUAAAGAACUUAGCUUAACUAGGUAAAAGCAGUGGAAACUACAAGGCUAGAGUGCGUUCGGGGUAGAGGGAAUUCCUGGUGUAGCGGUGAAAUGCGUAGAUAUCAGGAAGAACACCAGUGGCGAAGGCGCUCUACUAGGCCGCAACUGACACUGAGGGACGAAAGCUAGGGGAGCGGAAUGGGAUUAGAUACCCCAGUAGUCCUAGCCGUAAACGAUGGAUACUAGGCGUGGCUUGUAUCGACCCGAGCCGUGCCGGAGCUAACGCGUUAAGUAU